rnacentral:rRNA from 1 species
ACGGAUAUCUCGGCUCUCGCAUCGAUGAAGAACGUAGCGAAAUGCGAUACCUGGUGUGAAUUGCAGGAUCCCGCGAACCAUCGAGUCUUUGAACGCAAGUUGCGCCCGAGGCCUCUUGGCCGAGGGCACGCCUGCCUGGGCGUCACGCCAAACACGCUCCCACCCAACUAACUUGGGGUGGGACGCGGCAUGUGGCUCCUCGUCCCGCAAGGGGCGGUGGGCCAAAGAUCCGGCUGCCGGCCUAUCGUGCCGGACACAGCGCGUGGU